rnacentral:rRNA from 1 species
AUUGAACGCUGGCGGCAUGCUUUACACAUGCAAGUCGAACGGCAGCGCGGGCUUCGGCCUGGCGGCGAGUGGCGAACGGGUGAGUAAUGCAUCGGAACGUGCCCAGUAGUGGGGGAUAGCCCGGCGAAAGCCGGAUUAAUACCUCAUACGACCUGAGGGUGAAAGCGGGGGACCGAAAGGCCUCGCGCUAUUGGAGCGGCCGAUGUCGGAUUAGCUAGUUGGUGGGGUAAAGGCUUACCAAGGCGACGAUCCGUAGCUGGUCUGAGAGGACGACCAGCCACACUGGGACUGAGACACGGCCCAGACUCCUACGGGAGGCAGCAGUGGGGAAUUUUGGACAAUGGGGGCAACCCUGAUCCAGCCAUGCCGCGUGCGGGAAGAAGGCCUUCGGGUUGUAAAACGCUUUUGUUCGGGAAGAAAUCCUCUGGGCUAAUACCCCGGGGGGAUGACGGUACCGGAAGAAUAAGCACCGGCUAACUACGUG